AUUACACUCAAUUAAAUCCUCAGUGAGGACAGUGUUUGAAAGGCAUUUCCAAGGGAGCGAGCCAGCGCUGGUCGCUGGGUGUCCGGUUGGUCCUGGCCUCAGGGAGAGAGGCUGCCGCCCACAGAGUCUCCUGGACUGCAAGAAGAUCCAACCAGUCCAUCCUAAAGGAAAUCAGUCCUGAAUAUUCAUGGGAAGGAUUGGUGCUGAAGCUGAAACUCCAGUACUCUUUGGCCACCUGAUGCGAAGAACUGACUCGCUGGAAAAGACCCUGAUGCUGGGAAAGAUUGAAGGCGGGAGGAGAAGGAGACGACAGAGGAUGAGACGGUUGGAUGGCAUCAUGAACUCAAUGGACAUGAGUUUGAGUAAAGUCCGGGAGUUGGUGAUGGACAGGGAGGCCGGGCAUGCUGCACCAUGGGGUCACAAAGAGUCAGACACGACUGAGAGACAGCAACUCUCCUCUACCCCCUCCAGACAGGACUCCAUCUGGAUCAAUUCCUUCAUCCCCAAGAACUUCCCUCAAUAUGUCUUACCCUGCAGGUGGUGAAUUCCCUGUUUACCUGUAAACAUCUUUUUCUGCUUUCAUUUCGAGGGAUAUUGUCACUGGAGGCACAAUUUUGGAUCGACAUGUCCUGAGUCCCACACUUUCCGUCCCCAUCACCUCUAGGAAGCACUCUUGCUUCCUUGCAGACAAUACAUCUGCUUUGAAGAGUUUUUUCUUAGUCUUUGGUGUUCAGUGAUCUAAUCAUGCUGUGCCCGGGAGUCAUUUUCUUCCGUUCUUCUUGGAGUUGGCUGAGAGGCUUGAACCUGUAAGUUCUCUGUUCUUCACAAAAUGAGGGGAAGUUUUGAUCGUUAGCCCUUCAAGUCUUCUGCCUCUGGCCCAUUAUAAAGAGAUGUAUGUUGCAUCUCUUGAUAUUUCCC
ensembl:lncRNA